CCUGCGGAAGGAUCAUUAAUGAGGGCGUGUGGGCUUAAUAUCCCC
rnacentral:rRNA from 1 species